UUCAGGUACUGGAGGUCCGAACCCACUAAUGUUGAAAAAUUAGGGGAUGAGCUGUGGAUAGGGGUGAAAGGCUAAACAAAUCCGGAAAUAGCUGGUUCUCCCCGAAAACUAUUUAGGUAGUGCGUCAUGUAUCACUUGCGGGGGUAAAGCACUGUUAUGGCUGGGGGGUCAUCGCGACUUACCAAACCAUGGCAAACUCUGAAUACCGCAAAGUGCGAGCAUGGCAGACAGACAGUGGGUGCUAACGUCCAUUGUCAAGAGGGAAACAACCCAGACCGCCAGCUAAGGUCCCCAAGACACAGUUAAGUGGGAAACGAGGUGGGAAGGCAUAGACAGCUAGGAGGUUGGCUUAGAAGCAGCCAUCCUUUAAAGAAAGCGUAAUAGCUCACUAGUCGAGUCGUCCUGCGCGGAAGAUGUAACGGGGCUCAAACUGUGCACCGAAGCUGCGGAUAUCGAAAGAUAUGGUAGGGGAGCGUUCUGUAGGUCUGUGAAGGUGUCUUGUAAAGGAUGCUGGAGAUAUCAGAAGUGCGAAUGCUGACAUGAGUAGCGAUAAAGGGCGUGAAAAGCGCCCUCGCCGAAAGCCCAAGGUUUCCUACGCAACGUUCAUCGGCGUAGGGUGAGUCGGCUCCUAAGGCGAGGCAGAAAUGCGUAGUCGAUGGGUAACAGGUCAAUAUUCCUGUACCGAUUCUAGAUGCGAUGUGGGGACGGAGAAGGUUAGGUCAGCCGGGUGUUGGACGUCCCGGUUUAAGCGUGUAGGCGUGCCCCUUAGGCAAAUCCGGGGGGCUGAGCUGAGGCGUGAUGACGAGGAACCACGGUUCCGAAGUGAUUGAUACCAAGCUUCCAGGAAAAGCCACUAAGCUUCAGUCUAGAGUUGACCGUACCGCAAACCGACACAGGUGGGCAGGAUGAAAAUUCUAAGGCGCUUGAGAGAACUCAGGAGAAGGAACUCGGCAAAUUAACACCGUAACUUCGGGAGAAGGUGUGCCCCGGUAGCGUGUAGAGACUUGCUCUCGAAGCGCGAUGGGGUUGCAGUGAAAUGGUGGCUGCGACUGUUUAAUAAAAACACAGCACUCUGCAAACACGAAAGUGGACGUAUAGGGUGUGACGCCUGCCCGGUGCCGGAAGGUUAAGUGAUGGGGUGCAAGCUCUUGAUCGAAGCCCCGGUAAACGGCGGCCGUAACAAUAACGGUCCUAAGGUAGCGAAAUUCCUUGUCGGGUAAGUUCCGACCUGCACGAAUGGCGUAACGAUGGCCACACUGUCUCCUCCUGGGACUCAGCGAAGUUGAAAUGUUUGUGAAGAUGCAAUCUACCCGCGGCUAGACGGAAAGACCCCAUGAACCUUUACUGUAGCUUUGCAUUGGACUUUGAACCGGUUU
rnacentral:rRNA from 1 species